rnacentral:rRNA from 1 species
GACGUAGGGCGCGAGCGUUGUCCGGAUUUAUUGGGCGUAAAGAGCUCGUAGGCGGCUUGUCGCGUCGUCCGUGAAAACUUGGGGCUCAACCCCAAGCUUGCGGUCGAUACGGGCAGGCUCGAGUUCGGUAGGGGAGACUGGAAUUCCUGGUGUAGCGGUGAAAUGCUUAGAUAUGAUAUAGAACACCAAUUGCGAAGGCAGGUUACUGAGCCAUUACUGACGCUGAGGCACGAAAGCGUGGGGAUCAAACAGG